ensembl:lncRNA
CUGACAUUUCAGGUACUGUGACCCUGGACUUUGAUAACUUGCUGGUGUAAUUAGUCUAAAUGUGCCUCAAAUUUUUUUUAUUAGAGCCCUGUGGGGACUUAAUUUUUUUCUCUCCACCUGUAAGCUCUUUCUCCUUAUAAUACAAUUCCUGAUCCAUGACAGAUCCUUUGCUCAGACGAAAUACAUGAAAUAAUGAAAUUUAUCAAAAAAAUAUUAAUGAAACAAAACAGACUGAUAAUGUAUCCAUGUUUUCAUGUUAUAUUAGUUAGUGACAUAUUUAAAUAGGUAAGGUUUUUUAUGUGCCUAUCAGCAAAUAUUUGAAGUCACUAGCCUGGUCUUUGUUCCCAAAAACUCUAGCAUGGGGCCAGCUCAGAUAUUCUCAAUACAACUGUUUCAUAACAGAACAAUUAUUUUUGUUUGAUUCCUAAAUCUGAGAAGUUGCACUCUGUUGUUGAAAAUAAAUUGCAGCAGCUAUCAUCAUACUUUACAGCCAGGAUUCCCCCUAUUCUCAGCUUAAAACAUAGUUGCCCAAUUAUCUACACCAGUCACCUGGAGCCUGAAAGCUCUCCUGACUUCCUGUGCAGGAAGGUAAAUGCACUCAUGCUCACAAGGCUUUUGGCCACAGCGAGGUUACACUGUGUUCCCUCAAAUGCCCUGGUCCUGUUUUGUUGGCUUUCUGUAAUUUCUUAUUUGGCUGAGUUAAACCUAUGGGAUAAGACAAGUUUUCCAUGGACCAGUUCUUAGAUACUUCCCCAAGGGAGUCUGUUCUGUUAUGUGCUGUACAAGAAAGAGGAUAGUAAAUCUGGAUGGGGAAAGGGAGGCUGACUGAAGAAAAUAAAAUUCUGUGCUUUUUACUGUGUGCCCAGCAGGCACAGAUACAUGCAAGUGCAAGAGAUGCUUCAAAACCUGAAAAAUAGGAAACAUAGAUAAAACACAAAGUGUUCUUUACAGUAAAUCCUAUUAAUUGAUAGAAAAUAAUAAAUUGAUAAAAAUGCAUGCAUAAAAUGUUCACUCAUUUGCUGGCAACUGUAGAUCUAUUGCACUGUUCUCACUGUUGGAACCUGGCACUCACUUGACUAGCAUUUUAAAUGACAGGAAGUGCAGAAAAGGUGUACAGCCUGGCCAGUGGUGAUGAUGGCGUGCUCUAGGUCCCCUGCCACCUCACUGGCUGUAGAACGGUCCCGCAAGGAUUUCUCCAACAGCUACUGGCACCGCUGUGCAUGGGCCACCUGCCCUCACCAGCCUCUGGCCUCCUGGGGAUUUCAUGGAGAAGGCAGGGGAAAGGGAGGUACUUCUUGACAUACUCAACUUUCUGCUCAGGAGGGCAGAUACAUCUUUCAUUUAAGGAAAUCAUGGGGCAAGGUACAAAGUAAACUCGUUUUCUUUUUUUUUCUAAAAAUCAUUGCUACUUUGGAUAUGCUCAUCACAGGAAAACAGAUCCUGAUUUCUUGCAGGGAAGUGUGAAAGAGAUUGCAAAGAGCUGCAAAGCAGAAGUUCUAAAUCUCAAAUGAAAAGUAAAUAUCUGGUUAAAAAUGAGGUCAGAUUUGCAUAGGAUGUGUUCAAUUCAGUGCAGCCCUAGAGCAACUGUGACCUAUGCGAGAAAUUACACAGACUUCUCCAUUGUCUAGAAAAAUAAACUGUAACUUCCAGUACCAUAGUGACAUUAUGCAGAACGAAGAUUUUUUUUCUUAGAAGCACAGAAAUAAAGCAUGCAGUUUUACAGUGUUUUAUAAAUUACUGAAUUCAUUCUCCCCCCCCUCUCCCCCCCCCCCAUGUAUUAUUUCCUUCCAAAAUAGUAAAAAAUAAAUGAGUUUUGAUAGAUUCUGAAAAAUAUAGUAGGCAAUUGAAUAUUUCACAGCAUUAAAAGUAUGGAAAAAUCUCUAUAUAACCAGUCUGAUUUUAUGUGGGGUAGAAGAAAUCGAAUACUUAAUCACAUCUUUUUAAAACUCAGGAAUUCACAGAACAAUCUGAUACUCCAAAAUUGAUUUUCUUUCAUUUUGAAACAGAAACAUUAUGAAAAUUUAAGGAAUAUCCUGGAUUUUUUUUUGUUUAGGGGAGGUCGACAAAUAGUGUUUUGAAAAUAUAACACUACUGAGCACUGAAAAGAUGCAGUGUGUUAAAGGCAGUUGUGGAAGUGAUAAAAAGGCC